UGGAAACUCGUCGUCGCUAUUAAACUCAUUCGUCUCAGUCGCUGCUUCAAAAGAGGUAUAAAUCACUCACCUCCCUUCGCAUUUCGGAAUUAAAAAAUGUUAUGAACUGUUAAGUCGAAUGGUGAAGCAACAUUUUCAGAAUCAGUUUCCCGAUUGACGCAGCUUAAUCUUGUUCUGAGAACUGGCUGAAUUUCUACCCUGUUUCGUUUGAGUUGUUUGAUGUCCUCCUGAUUUCGAAUUUGAAUACACUUGCCACAUAUUCGCAUUUUCCUCACUGGUCACUCGUAGCUUGAGUUGUCUUCCCUCUUAUUCGCGAUUCCUUGUUUUAGACCUUAUUUGUCUCAGCAUAAUAUCGUAGUAUUAUCUAUUCUUAUAUGACUUGACUGAUUGUUUACAUCCCAUUUUGAAUAUUGGUUGUUUCAUCCCUUCGAAG
rnacentral:lncRNA from 1 species